ACGAACGCUGGCGGCACGCUUAACACAUGCAAGUCGAACGGCAACGGGUCCUUCGGGAUGCCGGCGAGUGGCGAACGGGUGAGUAACACGUGGAGACCUACCCUGGGGUGGGGGAUAACAGCUAGAAAUGGCUGCUAAUACCGCAUACGCCUUACGAGGGAAAGAUUUAUUGCCCCAGGAGGGUUCCGCGUCGGAUUAGCUUGUUGGUGGGGUAACGGCCUACCAAGGCGAUGAUCCGUAGCUGGUCUUAGAGGAUGAUCAGCCACACUGGGACUGAGACACGGCCCAGACUCCUACGGGAGGCAGCAGUGGGGAAUAUUGGACAAUGGGCGCAAGCCUGAUCCAGCCAUGCCGCGUGAGUGACGAAGGUCUUCGGAUUGUAAAGCUCUUUUGGCGGGGACGAUAAUGACGGUACCCGCAGAAUAAGCCCCGGCUAACUUCGU
rnacentral:rRNA from 1 species